GACUCUGUCUCAAAAAAUAAAUAAAUAAAUAAAAAUAAAAGACAAACAACACAAGAUCAUCUCAACAAAUGCAGGAAAAGCAUUUGAUUAAAUGUUUUCAUGAUAAAAAUACUCAAAUCUUUUCAUGAUAAAAAUAUUCAACAAAUUAGGACUAGAAUGGAACUUUCUCAACGUGAUUAAAAAAACACUAUGAAAACCCCACAGAUAACAUCAUGCUUAAUGAUGAAAGACUGAAUGCCUUCCCCUAAAAUCAGGAAUGAGACAAGGAAAGCCACUUGCAUGAUAAGACUACAGGAAAUCGAAAGGAAUAAAAAGCACAAUUUAGUCACCCACUAUUGAUGGGCAAUAGGUUUUUGCUAUUUUGAACAGAACUAUUAGGAACAUUCCUUGUACAUGCCCCCUGUUUUAUAUAGGCAAGAAUUUCUCUUGGAUGUAGAGUAGAAUUCCUGGGCUGGGAGGAGUGUGAAUAUUCAACCUUAUGAGAUGGAGCCGAACUGUUUUCCAAAGUGGUCAGAUCAGUGUACAUUCCCAGCAGCAGUUCUUAAAAGAUCUCAGGAUCUCUAUCUUCUGGUGUUGUCACAAGCAGUCAAAAAGAAUGAACAGCAGCUAUAAACAACAAUGAGGAUGAAUCUUAACAAUAUAAUAUUCAGCAAAAAAAAAAAAAAAAAAUCCCAUAAGGAUGCCUACAGCAUGCUUUAUAUAACUUGAAAAACAACUGAAAGGAAAAUAUGUGUAUAGGCGAGGCAUAGUGGCUCACACCUGUAAUCCCAGCACUUUGGGAGGCCAAGGCAGGAGGAUUGCUUGAGGCCAGCAGUUCAAGGCCAGCCUGGGCAACAUAGCAAAACCGUGUCUCUAUAAAAACUAGAAAAAUUAGCCAGGUGUGGUGGUGCAGGCUUGUAGUCCCAGCUACUUGGGAGGCUGAGGUGGGAGGAUCUCUUGAAUCCAGGCAUUUGAGGUUACAGUGAGUUGAGAUUGCGCCAUUGUACUCCAGCCUGGGCAACAGGAGAUUCUGUCUCUUAAAAUAAUAAUAAUAAGCAAAAAGGAAAAAUUUUAAGAAAUGUAUACAUAUACUUUAGGAUUAUAUAAGGAUAAAAUAAAAAACUGUAUGAAAAAGAACUCUAGGGGAAGAGAGACAUCCGUACACACAUUUAAUAGCAGCAUUAUUCACAAUCACCAAAAGUCUAUUGCAACCUUUUGGCUAUUGGGUUGCAAAAGCAACCCAAGUGUCCAUAGAUAGAUGAAUGGAUAAAUAAAAUGUGGUAUACACAUACAAUGGAAUAUUAAAUUAUAUUCAAUAUAUAUUAAAUAAUAUAUUUAAUAGUAUUAAUUUAAUAAUAUUUAAUAAUUUAAUACUAUUUAAUGAUAUUUAAAAAGAAGGAGAUUCUGACACAUGCUACAGCAUGGAUUGAAGACAUUAUGCUAAGUGAAAUAAGCCAGGCACAAAAAGAGAAAUACUAUAUGAUUCCACUUGUAGGAGGUAUUUAGAGUAGUCAGACUCAGAAAUAGAAAGUAAAAUGGCGGUUGCCAGCAUCUUGGAAGGAGAGGAAAACGGAGUUAUAAAUGGGUGUAGAGUUUCAGUUUCAUAAGAUGAAAAGAGUUCUUGGAGACUAGUCACAGUAGUGUGAAUAUACUUAGUACUGAACUGCACACUGAAAUUUCAUGUCUUGUGUAUUUUACCACAAUUUUGAAAAGAAAAAAGUAACUCUUAAGGGAACUAGGAACACGAGAUUCAGGAAAUGGUUCCCUGUGGAGGGGGAAGUGAUAGGGAGUCGGGAACAUGGAGAAGUGCUGUGUUGCCGGCUGUAAGUUGUCAAUGUCCUAACUUUAAUUUUGCAUAGUGUGUUCCCUUUAAAAAUAGUGCUUAUUACAUUUUUAAAAACAAAUAAACAUAUUAAAAUACUCCUGCAUUUUACCAGUGAUGAGAAUGUGUUAUGAACCUGGGAUUAGAUCAAUCCAAUUAUCUACACCUGAAGGGAAAAACAUUCAACCUCAAAAUCCUCUGUAGGAAAUUAUAAACUGUUUUAAAAUUGACAGGAUGUCAACAUCUCCCCUAACAACUUCGUUUUGUCACUUUCAUAAAGUCCUGACUUAAAGAACCCUUCUUUAAAUUACUGCAGAUAGAAGAGAGAAGGCUGAACCAGGAAGAUCCCCAUCUGGGAAUUUUAGUCACACUUCUGGCACCCAGCAGAAACAAACAAAGGGAAGCUUGUUCCUUACAGAAAGUUACAUUUUUUAAAAAUUCAACAAAAUACUAAGUUAUUAAAUAAUCUAAGUGACAAUUUGGUUGCAAGUUGGACACUCAACAUUUCUAAUUUUUUAAUAAAAUUAAUUGAUCAUAAAUGUGAUAAUUGACUUAUUGUGACCCCAAUUUGUUGUCAGCUGUUGGUUUAACAAGGUUUUGCUCAGGUCUGUUUAUCUCACAGGGUCAUGAAAUAUAUUUUAGAACUGAAAGUAACUGUAGAGAUCAUCUUGUCUAAAGAUAGCAAAUUCUUGGAACAUUUGCCACUAGUCCCCAAACCUGUGCCCAUGGCAGACAUUGCUAAUCGAUAGCAUAUUUCCCCUACAAACCUCAUCUACCUCAGAAUCCUUUCCUACAUAGCUUUCCAAGAAGCCACUUGAUCCAAGCCCAUGAGAUGAAACCUAUUUGGCAUUUCUUGAUCUAGUACAACUGUCUGCUUGUACAAAUGGAGAAACAGUAAGGAAGUGACUUAUCCAAGGUCACACAAGAGACAAAACUCAUUCGGGUCUUCUGAGCUCCAGUCCAGUGCCUCUCUCAUUACUUUUGAGUCAUCCCUUCCAUUGACAUAAACCAGACACUCCAGUCAUCACAGGAAUCCCAGCCUCUGCUGAAUCCAGCUCCCAGUGUGCAACCUUAUUCAUGGACAUUUUUCUUUCUGGGAUUGCAGGCCUGUCUCUCCCUCUCUGUCCUUUUAGCUGCUACUGCUGCUGGUGGUGAGGGCUUCCAUGGAGGAGAAAGCAUCCUCCUUAUCUUCUGGGAAGCUCCUCUGGCAGCUCCCCAAACAAAGCCCUUUGCAAGUGCACCACAGCACUGCCAGCUUUGGGAUGGCUGUAACUCACUGUGUGCUGGUCACCGAGCUCCCCUCCAUGGUUGCCUUGUUGACAUGGAGCAGGUUCCACUUCAUUGCCUGAAAUGAUUCCCCCUCCAAAACCUGCCACUCCACACCCAUACACAAAUGACCAGAGCAUUCUUCCUCUAAGAAAACCUACAAACUCCAAAUUGUUGGACAAAUGAGAUGGAGACCAAAUUGCAAGAGCAGGUAAGCUGGUCUUGAUCCAUGUGAAAUAGCUGUGGAAACAAAACUGAUGACCAUUUGGUGCCUUCUGAAAUUGGCCUUAAUUAAGAUGCUUUUACAGAGCUGGAGAAAGGCAGGCAGCAGCUCAGGAUCUUUAGUGCCACAAAAUAAUGGAAAGGUCUUUAACCUCUGAAAGGGGCACCAGGUACAGGCAAGGCAUCAUUUUCCUUGAACCAUGUGGACAUUUUACAACCUCUGCCAAGAUGCCUCAAUUCAAAUUAAAAUUCAAGUGGUUUUGCCAGCCCCUCCUCCAAGUGAGAGGUACAUACCUCAUCUUAAAGCCUAGGAAAGACAUUGGAGACAACUGGUUCAGUCUUCUCAUUUUGGACAUGAGAAAGAGGGGCACAGAUCAGACAGAGACUGGCCAUAGGUCACACCUGGGGACUCAAAGCUCAAACUCAGAGCUCUGCCCUUGAUUCAAGUUUCUUCCUCAGUGCCUAUAUCAUAACCAGUGGCCCUUGCUCAGGUGCCUGGGAAAGGGACAUACCAAACAGUGCAAAGAAACUUGCAACUGAAGGCAGCAUCCCCAGGGAACACACCGCUGCUGGUGGCGAAACGACAGCAAGAGGCCUCGCAAUCGGAGGGUGAGAGAGGACAGACCGGAGCUGGAACUGACGAGCCAGCUCUGUGUUAGCAUGGUGCUGUUGCCUUGCAGGUAUUUUCUCUUUUAAUCAUUUCAACAAAUCUGGGUGACUAAACCCAUUUCAUGGGUGAGAACACGUAGGCUCAAAAACAGUAACUUGGCUAAGGUGGCCUCAUUAGAAGUUGGCUGUGCCAUUUGACCCCAGGUUACUCCCCAGGGCCUGGCCCUUCCUCUCUGACACACACUUAAGGCCACCCUCAGGCCACACAGAGUCCUGCCACUCCCACAUGGAUGUUGAAGAAUCUCAAAGUUAGGUAGAAGUAUAUUUUAUCUUGACACUUCCAAGGAAACUCUGUGUAAGCAAUGAGUUUAGGGGUGGAUGUAAGGACUUUUUUAUUUUUUGUAGGGGAUAUUUAAUCUCUUUAGGAGAAUAAAAUGUUCUGAAGCCACUUGGUAGUAGCUAUUUUUAUAGAACUAUUCUAUUGUAAGGUAUUACUUCUAGCUCACUGCCCUACAUCUUCCAGAAAAGAAAACUUUGCAUUUACUGUUUAAAAUGAAAUAAAUGCUUAUUUUUAUAAGGUUGAUAUGGUUUGCAUCUGUGUCCCCAGCAGUCCAUGUUGAGAUGUAAUCCCCAGUGCUGGUGGUGUGGCUGGUGGGAGGUGUUUGGAUCAUGGGGC
rnacentral:lncRNA from 10 species